rnacentral:rRNA from 1 species
AACGAACGCUGGCGGCAGGCCUAACACAUGCAAGUCGAACGGACCCUUCGGGGUUAGUGGCAGACGGGUGAGUAACGCGUGGGAACCUACCUUUAGGUACGGAACAACACAGAGAAAUUUGUGCUAAUACCGUAUGUGCCCUUUGGGGAAAGAUUUAUCGCCUAAGGAUGGGCCCGCGUUAGAUUAGCUAGUUGGUAAGGUAAUGGCUUACCAAGGCGACGAUCUAUAGCUGGUCUGAGAGGAUGAUCAGCCACACUGGGACUGAGACACGGCCCAGACUCCUACGGGAGGCAGCAGUGAGGAAUAUUGGACAAUGGGGCAACCCUGAUCCAGCCAUGCCGCGUGAGUGAUGACGGCCUUAGGGUUGUAAAGCUCUUUCGCUAGGGAAGAUAAUGACGGUACCUAGUAAAGAAGCCCCGGCUAACUUCGUGCCAGCCGCCGCGGUAAU